rnacentral:rRNA from 1 species
UACGUAGGGGGCAAGCGUUGUCCGGAAUCAUUGGGCGUAAAGCGCGUGUAGGCAGCUGGGUAAGUCCGCUCUGAAAGCCCGGGGCUCAACCCCGGGAGGCGGGUGGAUACUGCUCAGCUCGAGUCCGGAAGAGGAGUGUGGAAUUCCUGGUGUAGCGGUGAAAUGCGCAGAUAUCAGGAGGAACACCAAUGGCGAAGGCAGCACUCUGGGACGGUACUGACGCUGAGACGCGAAAGCGUGGGGAGCAACAGG